UACGUAGGGGCCAAGCGUUGUCCGGAUUUAUUGGGCGUAAAGAGCUCGUAGGCGGUUCGGCAAGUCAGCUGUGAAAUCUCCACGCUCAACGUGGAGGGGUCAGCUGAUACUGCUGUGACUCGAGUCCGGUAGGGGAGUGUGGAAUUCCCGGUGUAGCGGUGAAAUGCGUAGAGAUCGGGAGGAACACCAGAGGCGAAGGCGGCGACCUGGACAAGUACUGACACUCAACUACGAAAGCGUGGGGAGCAAACAGG
rnacentral:rRNA from 1 species